CCCUUACUGGCUUAUCAAUAGGAGAGCGGACGGGAUCCCGAGUUUUCCAGUGGGUAUGGUCGUAUGU
rnacentral:rRNA from 1 species